UACGAAGGGGGCUAGCGUUGUCCGGAAUCACUGGGCGUAAAGGGCGCGUAGGCGGCGCGGAUAGUCGGCGGUGAAAGCCCGGAGCUCAACUCCGGGUCGGCCGUCGAUACUUCCGGGCUUGAGCACUGUAGAGGCAGAUGGAAUUCCGAGUGUAGAGGUGAAAUUCGUAGAUAUUCGGAAGAACACCAGUGGCGAAGGCGACUUACUGGACACAUAUUGACGCUGAGGUGCGAAAGCGUGGGGAGCAAACAGG
rnacentral:rRNA from 1 species